rnacentral:rRNA from 14 species
UCCGAAAUGCAUUUAGGUGCAGCCUUGAACUGAGAUAUGUGGGGGUAGAGCUCUGUAUGAUCUAGGGGGCGUACUGCUUACCGAAAUCAAGCAAACUGCGAAUACCAUAUAUCAUGUUCAGGAGUGAGUCCGUGGAUGACAAGGUCCUCGGACGAGAGGGGAACAGCCCAGACCGCCAGCUAAGGUCCCUAAUUAUGUCUAAGUGGGAAAGGAGGUGGACAUUCAUAGACAACCAGGAGGUUGGCUUAGA